UACGAAGGGGGCUAGCGUUGCUCGGAAUCACUGGGCGUAAAGGGUGCGUAGGCGGGUCUUUAAGUCAGGGGUGAAAUCCUGGAGCUCAACUCCAGAACUGCCUUUGAUACUGAAGAUCUUGAGUUCGGGAGAGGUGAGUGGAACUGCGAGUGUAGAGGCGAAAUUCGUAGAUAUUCGCAAGAACACCAGUGGCGAAGGCGGCUCACUGGCCCGAUACUGACGCUGAGGCACGAAAGCGUGGAGAGCAAACAGG
rnacentral:rRNA from 1 species